rnacentral:rRNA from 1 species
UACAGAGGUCCCAAACGUUGCUCGGAAUUAUUGGGCGUAAAGCGCACGUAGGCGGUUUGUUAUGUCGGAUGUGAAAGCCCUUGGCUCAACUGAGGAAGUGCAUCCGAAACUGGCAAGCUAGAGUAUGUAAGAGGGUCGCGGAAUUCCCGGUGUAGAGGUGAAAUUCGUAGAUAUCGGGAGGAACACCGGUGGCGAAGGCGGCGACCUGGGACAAUACUGACGCUGAGGUGCGAAAGCGUGGGGAGCAAACAGG